UACGGAGGGUGCAAGCGUUGCUCGGAAUUAUUGGGCGUAAAGGGUAGGUAGGUGGUCUCAUUUGUCUGGGGUGAAAGCCUUGAGCUUAACUCAAGAAGUGCCCCAGAAACGGUGAGACUAGAGUCCUGGAGAGGGUCGUGGAAUUCCCGGUGUAGCGGUGAAAUGCGUAGAGAUCGGGAGGAACACCAGAGGCGAAGGCGAGUCCCUGGACAACUCCUGACACUGAGGCACGAAAGCUAGGGGAGCAAACAGG
rnacentral:rRNA from 1 species